rnacentral:lncRNA from 1 species
UGGCAUAUCUCAUUUCCAUGGAGAUAAUUUGGCUCUGCCCCCUUAGUCAUGGUCUAUUGACUGAAAAUUUUUGUAAGUAAACAUGUAUUAGUUUUUGAUUAGGUCAGUUCAAGGGGAAUCAUUAGUGGUAGGCCAAUGAUAAUUGGUAUUCAAUUGUAUAAGCAUUGGCACAUCUCAUUUCCAAUGAGAAUAUAUGGCCUCACCCCUCAGUCACAGUCUAAUGACUUUGAAACUUAUCUUAGUUCACAUGUAUAAGUUGGUGAUUAGAUCAGUUUAAGAUGAACUGCUAAUGUUAAAUCAAUGAUAUUUGGUAUGCAGGCUUGCAAGUAUUGUUUCCAUGGAGAUUAUAUAGCCCCUACCCCCCUCUUCAUGCUUCACUGACCUUGAAACUUUUACAUAGUUUACAAGUUAAUUUUUGUAUUUAGAUUUGGAAACGACUUAUAAUUAGUCAAUGGUAUUUGGUAUGCAGCUGUAUUAGUAUUGGCUCAUUUCAUUUAUAUGGAGAUUGUUUAGCCAUGUAACUCAGUCAUGGUUCAUGGACUUUGAAUGUUUGCAUAACUUGUGUAAGAUGUUAAGGAAUUGCUAUUUUGAUUUCACCAUUUGCAUAAUCAAAACUGACAAAAAGGUGAGACAUAUCUCUGUGAUAACAGUUUAUUAUAAAGUUUACAUGAAAUUUGAAGGGGAGAUUUUCUUCAAAGACUUGUAAUAAUUUUUUAAAAUUUUAAAUAACAAGACUUCCUCAAUUAUUGAUUGAUGAUUGAUUCUACAGUUAUCCUUUUAAAUAUGUUUAUUUCCAAAUAAAAGUUAAA